UACGUAGGGUGCGAGCGUUGUCCGGAAUUAUUGGGCGUAAAGAGCUUGUAGGCGGUCUGUCGCGUCUGCUGUGAAAAUCCGGGGCUCAACCCCGGACUUGCAGUGGGUACGGGCAGGCUAGAGUGUGGUAGGGGAGACUGGAAUUCCUGGUGUAGCGGUGGAAUGCGCAGAUAUCAGGAGGAACACCGAUGGCGAAGGCAGGUCUCUGGGCCACUACUGACGCUGAGAAGCGAAAGCAUGGGGAGCGAACAGG
rnacentral:rRNA from 1 species